rnacentral:rRNA from 1 species
ACAAAUGCCCUGCUUCCAGGAAAAGCCUCUAAGCCUCAGGUAACAUCAAAUCGUACCCCAAACCGACACAGGUGGUCAGGUAGAGAAUACCAAGGCGCUUGAGAGAACUCGGGUGAAGGAACUAGGCAAAAUGGUGCCGUAACUUCGGGAGAAGGCACGCUGACACGUAGGUGAAGUGGUUUACCCAUGGAGCUGAAGUCAGUCGAAGAUACCAGCUGGCUGCAACUGUUUAUUAAAAACACAGCACUGUGCAAACACGAAAGUGGACGUAUACGGUGUGACGCCUGCCCGGUGCCGGAAGGUUAAUUGAUGGGGUCAGCGCAAGCGAAGCUCCUGAUCGAAGCCCCGGUAAACGGCGGCCGUAACUAUAACGGUCCUAAGGUAGCGAAAUUCCUUGUCGGGUAAGUUCCGACCUGCACGAAUGGCGUAAUGAUGGCCAGGCUGUCUCCACCCGGGACUCAGUGAAAUUGAACUCGCUGUGAAGAUGCAGUGUACCCGCGGCAAGACGGAAAGACCCCGUGAACCUUUACUAUAGCUUGACACUGAACACUGGUCCUUGAUGUGCAGGAUAGGUGGGAGGCUUUGAAGUGUGGACGCCAGUCUGCAUGGAGCCAUCCUUGAAAUACCACCCUUUAAUGGCUGGUGUUCUAACGUGGGCCCGUGAACCGGGUUGCGGACAGUGUCUGGUGGGUAGUUUGACUGGGGCGGUCUCCUCCUAAAGAGUAACGGAGGAGCACGAAGGUUGGCUAAUCCUGGUCGGACAUCAGGAGGUUAGUGCAAUGGCAUAAGCCAGCUUGACUGCGAGCGUGACGGCGCGAGCAGGUGCGAAAGCAGGUCAUAGUGAUCCGGUGGUUCUGAAUGGAAGGGCCAUCGCUCAACGGAUAAAAGGUACUCCGGGGAUAACAGGCUGAUACCGCCCAAGAGUUCAUAUCGACGGCGGUGUUUGGCACCUCGAUGUCGGCUCAUCACAUCCUGGGGCUGAAGUAGGUCCCAAGGGUAUGGCUGUUCGCCAUUUAAAGUGGUACGCGAGCUGGGUUUAGAACGUCGUGAGACAGUUCGGUCCCUAUCUGCCGUGGGCGCUGGAAGAUUGAGGGGGGCUGCUCCUAGUACGAGAGGACCGGAGUGGACGCAUCACUGGUGUUCGGGUUGUCAUGCCAAUGGCACUGCCCGGUAGCUACAUGCGGAAGAGAUAAGUGCUGAAAGCAUCUAAGCACGAAACUUGCCCCGAGAUGAAUCUUCCCUGAGCCUUUAAGGCUCCUGAAGGAACGUUGAAGACGACGACGUUGAUAGGCCGGGUGUGUAAGCGCAGCGAUGCGUUGAGCUAACCGGUACUAAUGAACC